rnacentral:rRNA from 1 species
GAUGAACGCUGGCGGCGUGCCUAAUACAUGCAAGUCGAGCGAACAGACGAGGAGCUUGCUCCUCUGACGUUAGCGGCGGACGGGAGAGUAACACGUGGAUAACCUACCUAUAAGACUGGGAUAACUUCGGGAAACCGGAGCUAAUACCGGAUAAUAUAUUGAACCGCAUGGUUCAAUAGUGAAAGACGGUUUUGCUGUCACUUAUAGAUGGAUCCGCGCCGCAUUAGCUAGUUGGUAAGGUAACGGCUUACCGAGGCAACGAUGCGUAGCCGACCUGAGAGGGUGAUCGGCCACACUGGAACUGAGACACGGUCCAGACUCCUACGGGAGGCAGCAGUAGGGAAUCUUCCGCAAUGGGCGAAAGCCUGACGGAGCAACGCCGCGUGAGUGAUGAAGGUCUUCGGAUCGUAAAACUCUGUUAUUAGGGAAGAACAAAUGUGUAAGUAACUAUGCACGUCUUGACGGUACCUAAUCAGAAAGCCACGGCUAACUACGUG